rnacentral:miRNA from 10 species
GGUGCCCAGUUACAUUUGAAUUUCAGAUAAGCAACAAGAAAAGUUUCACUAUAAGUAUGUCCCAUGAGAUAUUUGGGACAUACUUAUACUAAAAAAAAGUGUAUGUGUUAUUUAUCUGCAGUCUAGAUUUAA